UACGUAGGGCGCAAGCGUUGUCCGGAAUCAUUGGGCGUAAAGAGCUCGUAGGCGGCCUGUUGCGUCCGCUGUGAAAUCCCCGGGGGCUUAACCCCGGGCGUGCAGUGGAUACGGGCUGGCUGGAGGCAGGCAGGGGAGAACGGAAUUCCCGGUGUAGCGGUGAAAUGCGCAGAUAUCGGGAGGAACACCGGUGGCGAAGGCGGUCUCUGGGCCUGUACUGACGCUGAGGAGCGAAAGCGUGGGGAGCGAACGG
rnacentral:rRNA from 1 species